GACGAACGCUGGCGGCGUGCCUAAUACAUGCAAGUCGAACGCGGUGGGGACGGUUGAGUAACACGUGGGUAACCUCCCCAUCAGAGGGGAUAACACUUGGAAACAGGUAAUAAACCGAUACUGAUGGAUGAACUCGCGGUGCAUUGGCUAGUGGGGGAGGUAACGUCUCACCAAGGCCACGAUGCAUAGCCGACCUGAGAGGGUGAUCGGCCACACUGGGACUGAGACACGGCCCAGACUCCUACGGGAGGCAGCAGUAGGGAAUCUUCGGCAAUGGACGAAAGUCUGACCGAGCAACGCCGCGUGAGUGAAGAAGGUUUUCGGAUCGUAAAACUCUGUUGUUAGAGAAGCGGUAUCUAACCAGAAAGCCACGGCUAACUACGUGCCAGCAGCCGCGGUAAUAC
rnacentral:rRNA from 1 species